ensembl:lncRNA
AUUCGUGAGAGCGUGCUGGGGAGGGCGGGUCCCAACGCGAAUCGGGGCAGGUCGAGGUGGGUUGGAGUUGGGCGCAGGGUGGGAGGGUAUGCGCCCCCCUCGUGGUGGAGGGAAUGGACAUGGUGUCUCGGCCCCGGGAGUGGGAAGGUAGGUGCCUGUCUGGGCUGUGUUAGUGAGGGUCUCCCAGAGUUGUGUGGAUGCGGGUGGAGGACAGUGCUUCAAGUUCUUGACAUGUCAGCCAGUGUGGGGGUGGGGAGGCCCUCCAGAGGAGAGAAGUGGGGACCCAGCAGUCCAGCCUGGGUUUAAAAGAGGACUGGGGGGACCCCUCUCCUCCCUUCUCACUCCUUCUGGCCCAACUAAGAAGGCUCAUUCAUAGAAAGGGGGCCCACAUCUGGGAGAUUCCUGGAGGGCUGACUCCUCUGCCCUGUGUAGCUUGGGGUUCCUGUGCCCUUGGGGUGCAAGAAGAGGGUGAAAGGCCUCAGACUGAACCCAGACCCCCUUCAUCCUAGCGCCAGACUGACCUCUGCCCCCAGUGCUGGGCUCCACGGCUACCAAAGCCCCUCAGCCCUGCGCUGCCUGUCCGGUGCACGCCAGCCAGGCCCAGACCCAGUGGCUUCCUGAAUGGAGGUGCGGUUGGCCCUGUGUCACCUAUCCUUUCUGCCCCAGCCCCAACCAACUGCCUGCUCCUGAUGGGUGGUCUUUGAGGGGGAAGCUGGGACCCUUGGCAUAAGGGUGUCCUUUGGCAGCCCUGCUGAUGCCAGCCCGAGCCGGAGGGCAGUCCCCAACAGGUGCCCGAGCUUAGAGGCGAGGUGAUGGAGGGCACACCCUGUCCGCUCACCCACGCACCGUGCCUGGGCCAGUCCAUGCGCAUGUGUUCACAUGCCGCCGUCCUGGGAAGGCACGGGCCCUAGGGCUCCGUGCCAGCUCUCUUCUAGCGCCCCAAGGGCACCCACUGCCCUCUGUCCUUGCAGGAUGUCCUCUGGGAGCUCCCUCAAGACCCCAGUGGGCGAGCCUUGUCUCUGUGGGUCUGGAGGGGGCCCCCGAAGUAGCUGCUGGCCUGGCUCUGGGCUGGCACGCGGAGCACAUGCGUGACAGGGCGUGUCCAGGGGGGGUCGGGCCUGUCUGUGCCGGCCCGGCCUCUGACUCUCCGCAGACCCUUGCUCAGUGGAAAGAAACAACAGGGACGGAUGCUCCAAGGGUCCUCCGCGGGAGCCCCCGCAACCAACCCCUACCUGUUGCAAGUGAAGGCCAGAUGUUGUGUGUGGUGGGCCGCAGCUGCGGGGCAGACCCCUGUUCCCUGGAAGUCUGAGGGACACUGGCCCAAAGGGUACAGUGGGAGGACCUGCUCACCAAGGGCCUAGGUGCCAGCUGCUGGCCCUGCCCGGUGCCCUGCCCCUCGACCCUGGUGCCAUGGCCGGCUGGGGUUCCUGGGGAUGGGAUUUGCUGCCUGUCACAAAUCACAUUGCCAGGGAUUUCCAACCGACCCUGAGCCCUGCCUCCGGGGCCGCCACUGCCACUGCCACCGCUGAGGACGCUGACCCUGGGGAUGGGGAUGGGGUGGCAGAGAGGCCCCCACCGCUCACAUCUGGCC